AACUCUCAACUUCAAAUAUUUGUUUGUUUGAAGCUUGGACUCAUGGAGGUUAUAUCAUGCUGGCAUAAUAUGUUUGUCGGCUCCUCUUAAAUGCAUUAGCGGAACUUUUUAAGGACCAGCUUUGGUUUGAUAAUGAAAUAUCUAUGCUGUUGCUGUGAACUUUUGUUUGUUCAGCUUCUAAUAGUCUCUGGACUGUCUCUAUUGUGAGGCAUAUACUUUUAA
rnacentral:misc_RNA from 1 species